UCGAGGUGUUUACAACAAACUCCACAGGGGCUCAAUUCUUUUUUUACUUUGUGGCGCCAAGAUGGCGGCGCGUGAACAACGCGAGGCUCAGCGUCUACCCAGAAUCUGCAAAUUAGUAGUUUUCUGCCUGUUAAUCUCGAGUCUGUUCACUCAGAACAGUCUUGCCUUUACCUCAUACACCCGUCAGCAACUUUUGGACAUCGGAUCUUGCGAUUUCGACAACUUUAUCGACAGUCACCGGCUCAUUCCAGAGAUCACAAAAACAGCGGUGGCUACCAACCCGGCUACGCCGACCGGAAGUGCUCACAGGCGGCGUCGAGACCGUAAACAAAGGCGGGGGCAACGAGGAGGGCUAAGAGCUAGGCUACGGCUAACUCCUCACCGGCUAUCUCUACCCAGCCUUUUCCUCGCCAAUGUUCGGUCUCUGGCGAAUAAAAUGGAUGAACUGCGGCUGCGGAUCACCACUAACAAACGGAUCAUGGACUGCAACGUCAUGAUUUUUACAGAAACAUGGCUCAACAGCGGCGUCCCUGAUAGCGCCAUCGAGCUAGCGGGGCGCUACAUCCUCCGGGCGGAUAGAACAGCAGAGGACUCCGGUAAGACCAGAGGCGGUGGACUAUGCAUCUAUGUCAACAAAGACUGGUGUACGGACACUGUUAUCAUCGAGAGUCACUGCUCUGCUAACAUUGAGUACCUCAUGGUUAAGUGUAGACCGUUCUAUCUGCCUAGAGAGUUUACAUCAACUGCUGUGACUGCAGCUUAUAUCCCCCCGGAUGCUAACGCUAAGCUGGCAAUGAAGGAAUUGCAUGCUGCCAUUAGCAAGCAACAAACUUUACAUCCGGAGGCAGCCUUUAUUGUUGCGGGUGACUUUAAUCACUCCAACCUGAAGACUGUACUCCCCAAAUUUCACCAGCAUGUCUCCUGUCCCACGAGAGGAGACAAGACUUUGGACCAUGUCUACACUAACAUGGCUGAUGCUUACAAAGCUGACCCCCUCCCCCACCUAGGUCAGUCUGACCACCUCUCUUUGUUUCUUCUCCCGAAAUACACACCACUCAUCAAACGUGUGAAACCCACAGUGAGGACAGUUAAAGUGUGGCCAGAGGGAGCAGACUCUGCACUACAGCACCGGUUUGGACACACAGACUGGAGUGUGUUUGCCACCCAGGCCACACUGGACUCCCACACGGACAUCAACGCCUAUGCCUCAUCUGUACUGGACUUUAUCAACACCAACAUCAACAGUGUCACCACCCUCAAACAGAUCACCACUUUCCCUAAUCAGAAGCCAUGGAUGAACAGGGAGGUCCGCCUUUUGCUGAAGGCACGCGAUACUGCUUUCAGAUCAGGUGACACCCAGGCCUACAGUUCAUCCAGGGCCGACCUGAAGAGGGGCAUCAAAAAGGCCAAGCACAGCUACAAACUCAAGAUUGAAGAGCACUUCAAUAACAACUCUGACCCCCGACGCAUGUGGCAAGGCAUCCAGGCCAUAACGGACU
rnacentral:lncRNA from 1 species